AUUGAACGCUGGCGGCAUGCUUUACACAUGCAAGUCGAACGGUAACAGGCCUUCGGGUGCUGACGAGUGGCGAACGGGUGAGUAAUGCAUCGGAACGUACCCAGAGGUGGGGGAUAACGCAGCGAAAGCUGUGCUAAUACCGCAUGUGAUCUGAGGAUGAAAGCGGGGGACCGAGCAGCAAUGUUUGGCCUCGCGCCUUUGGAGCGGCCGAUGUCGGAUUAGCUAGUUGGUGGGGUAAAGGCCUACCAAGGCGACGAUCCGUAGCUGGUCUGAGAGGAGGACCAGCCACACUGGGACUGAGACACGGCCCAGACUCCUACGGGAGGCAGCAGUGGGGAAUUUUGGACAAUGGGCGCAAGCCUGAUCCAGCAAUGCCGCGUGCGGGAAGAAGGCCUUCGGGUUGUAAACCGCUUUUGGCAGGAACGAAACGGUGUCCGCUAAUACCGGGCGCUAAUGACGGUACCUGCAGAAUAAGCACCGGCUAACUACGUG
rnacentral:rRNA from 1 species